GCAGCAUGGUCUUAGCUUGCUAAGGCCGAUGGCGACCGGCGCACGGGUGAGUAACACGUAUCCAACCUGCCGUCUACUCUUGGACAGCCUUCUGAAAGGAAGAUUAAUACAAGAUGGCAUCAUGAGUCCACAUGUUCACAUGAUUAAAGGUAUUCCGGUAGACGAUGGGGAUGCGUUCCAUUAGAUAGUAGGCGGGGUAACGGCCCACCUAGUCUUCGAUGGAUAGGGGUUCUGAGAGGAAGGUCCCCCACAUUGGAACUGAGACACGGUCCAAACUCCUACGGGAGGCAGCAGUGAGGAAUAUUGGUCAAUGGGCGAGAGCCUGAACCAGCCAAGUAGCGUGAAGGAUGACUGCCCUAUGGGUUGUAAACUUCUUUUAUAAAGGAAUAAAGUCGGGUAUGGAUACCCGUUUGCAUGUACUUUAUGAAUAAGGAUCGGCUAACUCCGUGCCAGCAGCCGCGGUAAUACGGAGGAUCCGAGCGUUAUCCGGAUUUAUUGGGUUUAAAGGGAGCGUAGAUGGAUGUUUAAGUCAGUUGUGAAAGUUUGCGGCUCAACCGUAAAAUUGCAGUUGAUACUGGAUAUCUUGAGUGCAGUUGAGGCAGGCGGAAUUCGUGGUGUAGCGGUGAAAUGCUUAGAUAUCACGAAGAACUCCGAUUGCGAAGGCAGCCUG
rnacentral:rRNA from 1 species